rnacentral:rRNA from 1 species
AGAGUUUGAUCAUGGCUCAGAACGAACGCUGGCGGCGCGUAUUAAGCAUGCAAGUCGAACGGGAGUGAGGCCCUUCGGGGACUCAUGAGAGUGGCGGACGGGUGAGUAACACGUAGGUGAUCUACCCUUGGGUGGGGAAUAGCCCAUGGAAACAUGGGGUAAUACCGCAUGAGGUCUUUCUGCGUAAAGCGGAAGCGAUAAAAGGAGCAAUUGUUCCGCCUGGGGAUGAGCCUGCGGUCCAUUAGCUAGUUGGUGUGGUAAGAGCGCACCAAGGCGACGAUGGAUAGCCGGCCUGGGAGGGUGAACGGCCACACUGGGACUGAGACACGGCCCAGACUCCCACGGGAGGCAGCAGCUAAGAAUCUUCCGCAAUGGGGGAAACCCUGACGGAGCGACGCCGCGUGGGCGAAGAAGGCCGGAAGGUUGUAAAGCCCUUUUCUUGACGAAGAAUAAGCUCAGGAGUGGAACGCCUGAGUGAUGACGUUAGUCGAGGAAGAAGCCCCGGCCAAUUACGUGCCAGCAGCCGCGGUAACACGUAUGGGGCGAGCGUUGUUCGGAAUUACUGGGCGUAAAGGGUGCGUAGGCGGUUCAGCAAGCCUGGUGUUAAAUACCCCGGCCCAACCGGGGAGCUGCGCUGGGAACUGCUGGGCUGGAGUUCAGGA